AAACGUAGUCCAACAACGAAAGAGCCCUGAAGCUCAAGCGGAGCCCGCUGGCCGCAGGGGCCGCACCACGCCCCAGACCCUGGAGUUUCCGGGUGCGCAGACCCUUGCCAUCAGCAGAGGCUGCCGCUGCGCGUCCCCUAGGCGCGGAAGAGGCGGCUGGUGGUCCCUGACGGCAAGGUGAAGUCGAGGCAGUAAUCGGGAACCCAGGUUUUAUACAUUACGAAUAAAGCUGGCACGUUUCCAUUUCUCCUGGGCAAAUAUUUAGAAGAAAAGUUGCUGGGUAAUUGGUGGAGACAAGGUUUCGCCACAUUGACUGGGCUGGUCUGGAACUCCUGAGCUCAAGCAACCGGCCCUCCUUGACCUCCCAAAGUGCUAGGAUUACAGGUGUGAACCACCGUGCCCGGCCCUACUUUCUAUCGAAGUAGAAUAGGUAGAUCACAUUAUUAUUAACAGUAUAUGGGAAGAGGGAGGUCCUCCCAUGUUACAUUGUUCUCCCUUCACCUUCUGGGUCAUGUUGCACCACUGUUUCCCUUCUAGUCAUAUCCCAGGGGGCCUUGUCCCAUUUAUACAGCUCUAUUCUAGUGGUCACCAGAGGAAUGGGAGUAAUCUGAUUGAAAGAUAAGACAGAAGAUUGUACUCUCUUUUUUUUUUUUUUGAGACAGAGUCACCCAGGCUGGAAUGCAGUGGCAUUGUCAUGGCUCACCGCAGUCUCAAACUCCUGGGCCCAAGUGAUCCUCCCACUCAGCCUCCUGAGUAGCUGGGACUAGAGGCACAUGCAACCACAUGCAGCUAUUUUUUUUUAAAUUUUCUGUAGAGACAGGGUCUCACUGUGUUGCUCAGUUUGUCUCAAACUCCUGGGCUCAAGUGAUCCUCCUGCCUUGGCCUCACAAAGUACUAGGAUUACAGGCAUGAGUCACCACACUCAGCUGAACUCUACUCUUUAUGUUCAGGAAAGCACUGGAGAAGAGAGAGGACAAGAGAAACAGGUCCGUAGUGACAGGAGCCUAGGAAUAGAGCAGGCCUUCAGUCUUGGUGAAAAAAUAAAUGGUAUUCUAAGCCUUCCUUUGGACAUUAA
rnacentral:lncRNA from 1 species